GAUGAACGCUGGCGGCGUGCCUAAUACAUGCAAGUCGAGCGAACGGACGAGAAGCUUGCUUCUCUGAUGUUAGCGGCGGACGGGUGAGUAACACGUGGAUAACCUACCUAUAAGACUGGGAUAACUUCGGGAAACCGGAGCUAAUACCGGAUAAUAUUUUGAACCGCAUGGUUCAAAAGUGAAAGACGGUCUUGCUGUCACUUAUAGAUGGAUCCGCGCUGCAUUAGCUAGUUGGUAAGGUAACGGCUUACCAAGGCAACGAUGCAUAGCCGACCUGAGAGGGUGAUCGGCCACACUGGAACUGAGACACGGUCCAGACUCCUACGGGAGGCAGCAGUAGGGAAUCUUCCGCAAUGGGCGAAAGCCUGACGGAGCAACGCCGCGUGAGUGAUGAAGGUCUUCGGAUCGUAAAACUCUGUUAUUAGGGAAGAACAUAUGUGUAAGUAACUGUGCACAUCUUGACGGUACCUAAUCAGAAAGCCACGGCCAACUACGUGCCAGCAGCCGCGGUAAUACGUAGGUGGCAAGCGUUAUCCGGAAUUAUUGGGCGUAAAGCGCGCGUAGGCGGUUUUUUAAGUCUGAUGUGAAAGCCCACGGCUCAACCGUGGAGGGUCAUUGGAAACUGGAAAACUUGAGUGCAGAAGAGGAAAGUGGAAUUCCAUGUGUAGCGGUGAAAUGCGCAGAGAUAUGGAGGAACACCAGUGGCGAAGGCGACUUUCUGGUCUGUAACUGACGCUGAUGUGCGAAAGCGUGGGGAUCAAACAGG
rnacentral:rRNA from 1 species